rnacentral:ncRNA from 1 species
UAUGAUAGAGGCGCGGGAAAGAUCAGUAGCUCCCUUCUCAGACGCGGCGGGGACCGCGGGGGCGAAAGGCUUUACCGCCGAAGGGUAUCCGUUUUCCCGGACGGAUAUGCCUGGGCCGGUGUGAGAACAUCCGCCGGACUGUCGUCUUUUUUCAAAGACGGAGAGCUGUCAG